rnacentral:rRNA from 1 species
GGGUGCGUAACGCGUAUGCAAUCUACCUUUUACAGAGGGAUAGCCCAGAGAAAUUUGGAUUAAUACCUCAUAGUAUAAUGACUUGGCAUCAAGACAUUAUUAAAGUCACAACGGUAAAAGAUGAGCAUGCGUCCCAUUAGCUAGUUGGUAAGGUAACGGCUUACCAAGGCUACGAUGGGUAGGGGUCCUGAGAGGGAGAUCCCCCACACUGGUACUGAGACACGGACCAGACUCCUACGGGAGGCAGCAGUGAGGAAUAUUGGACAAUGGGCGCAAGCCUGAUCCAGCCAUGCCGCGUGCAGGAUGACGGUCCUAUGGAUUGUAAACUGCUUUUAUACGAGAAGAAACACUACUUCGUGAAGUAGCUUGACGGUAUCGUAAGAAUAAGGAUCGGCUAACUCCGUGCCAGCAGCCGCGGUAAUACGGAGGAUCCAAGCGUUAUCCGGAAUCAUUG